AAUGAACGCUGGCGGCAUGCCUAACACAUGCAAGUCGAACGAAGGCUUCGGCCUUAGUGGCGCACGGGUGCGUAACGCGUGGGAAUCUGCCCCUUGGUUCGGAAUAACAGUUAGAAAUGACUGCUAAUACCGGAUGAUGACGUAAGUCCAAAGAUUUAUCGCCGAGGGAUGAGCCCGCGUAGGAUUAGCUAGUUGGUGUGGUAAGAGCGCACCAAGGCGACGAUCCUUAGCUGGUCUGAGAGGAUGAUCAGCCACACUGGGACUGAGACACGGCCCAGACUCCUACGGGAGGCAGCAGUGGGGAAUAUUGGACAAUGGGCGAAAGCCUGAUCCAGCAAUGCCGCGUGAGUGAUGAAGGCCUUAGGGUUGUAAAGCUCUUUUAACCGGGAUGAUAAUGACAGUACCGGGAGAAUAAGCUCCGGCUAACUCCGUG
rnacentral:rRNA from 1 species